rnacentral:lncRNA from 1 species
CCCCGCCCCAAGCUGGCAGUGAGGAGCCCUGGGCCGAGUCAGGCUGAGCUCUAGGCCCCCAGCUGACCAGGCCCAGGGCCUGGCCUCCCGCGAGGGGGAGGGGGUACAGCUGAGGCGUCCGCACAGGGGGUGAGGGAUUGAGUGAGGCAGGCCACAAAGUGUUCUCAGGCUCGCCAGGCCGGGGCCCCUUUCUCUCCAUGAGAUCAUAUCUGGGUCAAAGAGCAUGUAAAGCCGGGAGACCCCAGCGGUCACACAAAGCCCAUUCAGGCCGGCCCCUAUUCACUCCCCUCCUCUCCCCCCGGGCCCUGAGCGGCCGCCUUGGACCCCAGCGCAGCGCCUAAGCCCUGGCUUUGAUGUCCUCCAACAGAAAACGGCGAUUAAAUGUUGUUUUAAAGAGGGAGAGCUCGCUGCCCUCCCAUCUGUCAAGAGAAAGCUGAGGCAGGAGGGAGAGGCUGGGGGAGGGGCGGCACUGGCCCGCAGGAGGGGGGCAGGGGGCAGGAGAGGAGGUCACUGUUAAAGGAAUGACGACCACAUCUUGGAGGGAUACAGGAUUUUUCCCCCCAAGAAACACUGAAGUUACAAAGAAACGUGUCAAUCUACACGGAACGAAGGCAGAUGCGGAAAGCUGCAACCCGGACCGCUCAACUUCGAGCGCGAACUGCUUCUGUACUAGGACAGAGAGGACUGGCAAACACGACUGACUGCGGGGGUGGGGGGGGGGUGCACGCAGGCGGCAGGUGAGAAGAAGGGAAGGAAGGGAGGGAGGGAAGGAAGGGAGGAAGGGGAGGAAGGAAGGAGGGAGAUAGAGAAGGGAAAGGAGGUAAGAGGAGAAAGAGGGGAGGUGAGAAAGACAGAUUUGUACAAAAAAAAGGAACCAGUAAAAUUGAAGAAACAAAAUUGGGCAACCUCCUAAAAUUAGGCUAAGAGGAGGUGCUGAGGUAGACAUUAACUAGAACAUCAAUUAAUUAAAACACUAUUUUGUAAUACAGAGCAAUCGGACUGGCACUUGUGCUGUCGCGACAUAAGACAAGCCAUGAAAACGAAAACAAAAAAAAACCCAACAAAAUGAAAACAGAACAAAACAAAAAACACCCAAACCAAAAGGCUUAGUUUUGCUUGGUCCAGCAGGGCGGCGGCCCUCAGUGCUAUAAUUUACAUAUAUAUUUAUAUUUAUAUAUAUAUAUAUGGGUAGGAUUCCAUGGUGUUCCACCAUGGAUUCUUAACCUUAAAAAGAUCAUGCAUAACACUAUGUGAACAAACACUAUGAUAGACACCAAGAGGUUGGUACCCUGUCUGCACAGUGGGAUGGCCCAGGGUGG